UACGUAGGGUCCGAGCGUUGUCCGGAAUUAUUGGGCGUAAAGGGCUCGUAGGCGGUUCGUCGCGUCGGGAGUGAAAACUCGGAGCUCAACUCCGAGCCUGCUUCCGAUACGGGCAGACUAGAGGUAGGCAGGGGGAGAGCGGAAACUCCUGGUGUAGCGGUGGAAAUGCGCAGAUAUAGGAAGAACACCCGGUGGCGAAGGCGGUGG
rnacentral:rRNA from 1 species